AUGAACGCUGGCGGCGUGCCUAAUACAUGCAAGUCGAGCGAACAGAUAAGGAGCUUGCUCCUUUGACGUUAGCGGCGGACGGGUGAGUAACACGUGGGUAACCUACCUAUAAGACUGGGAUAACUUCGGGAAACCGGAGCUAAUACCGGAUAACAUUUGGAACCGCAUGGUUCUAAAGUGAAAGAUGGUUUUGCUAUCACUUAUAGAUGGACCCGCGCCGUAUUAGCUAGUUGGUAAGGUAACGGCUUACCAAGGCGACGAUACGUAGCCGACCUGAGAGGGUGAUCGGCCACACUGGAACUGAGACACGGUCCAAACCCCAACGGGGGGCAGCAGUGGGGAAUCUUCCGAAAGGGGCGAAAGCCUGACGGAGCAACGCCGCGUGGGUGAUGAAGGGUUUCGGCUCGUAAAACUUUGUUAUUGGGGAAAAAAAAAUGUGAAAGUAACGGUGCCCGUUUUGACGGUACCAAAUCAAAAAGCCACGGCUAACUACGU
rnacentral:rRNA from 1 species